GCCUUCAUAGCUCAGUGGCACGAGCGCGCCCUUGGUAUGGGCGAGGCCCCGGGUUCGAUCCCCGGUGAAGGCUCCA
rnacentral:tRNA from 2 species